ACUUGAACAACAAUUUAUGUAGACUUUAUAAAAUGAUGUCUAAAAAACAAAGAUCAGCUUCAGAACUAUAGUACUUAAGACUUAUGAAGAACCCCGCCUUACCUGAGAUAAGGCUCUAUGUCCCAUCUCACUACAUGUGAAAGUGACUAUGAAAGAAGUAGGCCAGAUUUCAGUACAUUUAAAGUUGUGUCCAAAAGUUGGUUUUUGUCACGAUUACUAGGAUCUCAAACAGGGGAUUAUAAUGUAUAACUCUGCCAAAAUUCAAGGUAGCUAUUACAUGAACUAAAUAUGUUUUUACUCUUGUUAAUUUUAAUUUGUAGUUUUCUUAUAAAUGGUCUAAAGAUUGCCUGUUAAUGUUUUGCAGAGGUACUGCUUUAAGAACUCACAACCUGGGUUAAUUUAAGAUAAUGAGUUAUCACCUACAGGAUAGAGAGAUAGACAUUAAAGCCCAGUACUCUUAAUAUAAGGCUGUUGAAAUUGAUUUGCUGGAUGUUUAAGAUAAAGUUUUAAAAUUAAAGUUAAAUGUUGUGUUUACAUCCCUGACAAUUCUGACAAUGUGACAAAUAUCCUUAAAGAUUUACAUGCUCAGAUAAAAGCCAUGUCCUCACCAACUUUGUCAUGGAAACAAUAUCUUAGCUCCUGGUUCUCUGGUACUUCCUGGUGGAAAACAUUGUUAGUCUUUGUCUUUGUCGUCAUACUCAUUGGCAUAUUCCUGUGCUGUGGCAUUUAUUGCUGCAUCAAUCUGGUUCCAAUACUAAUGAAUUCUUGUUUCUCUUAUAGACCACCCAUCACUCAAAUGGCCCUCCAGCCUAUUACUUCUCAAUUGGACUUCUAUCAUGGACCACUCGAUAGACCUGAUUUUUAAAGGGGACUCCAAACUGCUUGCCCCACAUCAUCCCUUUUCAGCCUGAAGAAGCCAGAAGGAUCUUCACCCCCUUUCCUUACAGAAGUAAGGAGUUCCCAAAAUUAGAGGGGGGAAUGAAGCCAGAUUUAAAAUUAGGUAGUCAGUGUAGUUAGGUAAAUCGGGUCUAAUAUGGAGUAAGAUGUAAAAUGGAGGCCAUGCUGAGAAUGAAUUCCGGGAAACGAGGGACAACUCACAGAAUGUUAAUGAAGUCCCCAGAAAAGCCCUAGGCCCAAAGUCCAUCCCAGAGAAAUGUUAAUGAAGUCCUUCCUACCCAGUUUACUUCUUUGGCCCACCUGUGUCCCACCCCUCAGGCCUUCCCACCUACAUUCCAUCACUGAAAGAACUAUAAAAAGGGGAAACAACUGCAUCCACGGAUUCCACCUCUUGGGUCCCCUGCUUCCUCCGGGAGAAGUCUUUUCUGCUGUCCUUUAAUAAACUUCUAAUUUUCCACUCUGACCUUGCCUCGGCG
rnacentral:lncRNA from 1 species